GACGAACGCUGGCGGCGUGCUUAACACAUGCAAGUCGAACGGAAAGGCCCUGCUUUCGUGGGGUGCUCGAGUGGCGAACGGGUGAGUAACACGUGAGUAACCUGCCCUUGACUUUGGGAUAACUUCAGGUAACUGGGGCUAAUACCGGAUAGGAGCUCCUGCUGCAUGGUGGGGGUGGGAAAGUUUCGGCGGUUGGGGAUGGACUCGCGGCUUAUCAGCUUGUUGGUGGGGUAGUGGCUUACCAAGGCUUUGACGGGUAGCCGGCCUGAGAGGGUGACCGGCCACAUUGGGACUGAGAUACGGCCCAGACUCCUACGGGAGGCAGCAGUGGGGAAUAUUGCACAAUGGGCGGAAGCCUGAUGCAGCAACGCCGCGUGCGGGAUGACGGCCUUCGGGUUGUAAACCGCUUUCGCCUGUGACGAAGCGUGAGUGACGGUAAUGGGUAAAGAAGCACCGGCUAACUACGUG
rnacentral:rRNA from 1 species